UAAUAUUAGUGAUCCGAAAGAUAACUUGUCGUAUUUGUGGAUAUCGGGUUAAUGCUUGCGUAGCCCAAAAAUAUGCAGUUUCAAAGAUACAGCUAUUAAAGAUAUCACCGAAACGCGUCGUUUGCAGUACAGAUUUGUGGUGCUACAGCCGCAUGAAAUCCGCGUCUGUUGCAGUGGGAAAUGCCUGAUGGCCACAAUAGUGUGCAGGACCCAUUUGGCUUCGAAGAGGAAUGUUCACCUCCAGAAGACUUUCUUGCACAUUCAGUAUUGAGAAGACUGAGGACAAGGGAGAUAAGGAGGCUAUGAACGAGGACCACUUUGAGGACUUGAAACAUGAAGUGGAGUCAGCAAGUAGCGGCAUUGAACCAGAAAGGAACAAGUUCUACAGAGACAGUCCUGUGGCUCAAGUAAAUUUCUGACUUUUGUUAAAAGAUAAAACAAUACAUUCCACUUAAGUUCACCGUUGCUAUAACAUUGGUAAUUACUGCGCAAACAGCUCUAUCCAUGACCAUGGAACAAGAGCUAGACUCAACUUACAUUUACCAAAAAAAAGGUAAAACUCAAAACAGCAUUAUAUACCAAGGAAUAAAACUGUACAAUAAAUUACCAAAAAAAUAUUAAAGAAAUUGCAAAAAUACACUUCUUUAAAAAGGGAGCUAAAAAGUACCUGUUACGCAAUGCGUUUUAUACAUUGAAGGAUUACUUAGAUAAAACAGAGUAGGGGUUUGGCAAAAAAAUGUUAUAUAAAUAAUAAUAAUGAUUAUAAAAUAUCCAGCAUUCCACAUAACACCUUCAUACUUUUUUCCCUUCUUUUUUCCUUUUCUAUAAAAACUUACCUCCAAGCUGUGCAUAGUGCAAUACUAACAUCUCUUCCU